AUGGGGAAUGACAUUAAUUUAAAAGCUUUUAAGGAGCCAGUUCACCUGUGAAAGUGCUCCCCAGGUGAGGGCCUUCCUGUGCACAAAACAGCCUGCUCUUUAAAAGGAUUUUAAUUAAUGUUGCCGAGAAACACACCAACGGCAUUUAAGUCUGAAAGCCCCAGAGCCAAGGUGCCAGCCAAGAGCGGAACAGGACGCGGAAGAGGGUGGGUGAAGGGCGAUGGGGCGCAGAUCCUGGACAGGCCCGUCUGUACGGUGGCCGGGAACUGCAGACUCUGGAGGCAUCGUGGCAGGAGACAGAAGGGCAUCGUGCGUCUCCUUGCGCAGGCGGACGCUGUGGGUCCUCAUCGGAGCUUCAGGACAGGUCCUGGGGGUCGGCGAGGACAGCGGGGGAUGAUGCCCAAAGGGACUGUCUCAGCAGAAGGGGAGACAUGAGAGCAGGAAGGUGAUGGGAGCAAGUAAUUACAAACAAGUCCUGGAAAUGGGCGGAGCUACGGGGCAGGCUGCUUAAGAAGCAACUUAGUACAUGGGGGCUGCGGGGGUUGCAUGGUGUCCCCCAAGGGCUUUUGAGGAUAUAAUUAAGGUAAAGGUCUCAAGUUGAGAUCAUCCUGGAUUAGGGUGUGGCCUAAAUCCAAGGACAGGUGUCCUUAUAAGAGACAGAAAGACACACCAAGACAGAGGAGAGGCCGUGUGCAGAGGGAGGCAGCCUGGAGAGAUGCAGCCACAGCCCGGGGAUGCUUGGAGACCCCGGAAGCUGAAGAGGCAGAAAGGAUCCCCCCCAGAGCCUCUGCAGGGAGUGUGGCUCUGCCAACUUGAUUUCAGACUUCUGGCCUCCAGAACUGGGAGAGACUCAAUUUCUAUUGUUUUAAGCUACCCAGGUUGUGGCCGGGGGCGUCAGAAGGAUGCUGUGAUCGCUUUUAGGGCCUGCUCUGAUAAUCAGGGUAAACACCUGCCCCAUCCCAUCUCAAGAUCCUUAACUGAAUCAUCACUGCGAGAACCCUUUUUCCAAAAAAGUUCCAACAGUUUUUUGGUGGAUUCUUCAGGAUUUUCUAUAUAUAAGAUCAUGUCAUCUGCAAACAGAAACAAUUUCACUUCUUCCUACAAAUUGGACAACCCAGAAGAAAUAGAUAAAUUUCUAGAUACAACCUACAAAGGCUGAAUCAUGAUAAAAUAGAAAAUCUAAACAGAUCAAUAAUAGGUAAACAGAUUCAAUCAGAAAUCAAAAACCUCCUAACAAAGAAAAGUCCAUGACCAGAGGGCUUCAUCGUGAAUUCUACCAAACAUUUAAAGAAGAAUUAACAGUAGGACUUCUCAAACUUUUCCAAAAAAUUGAAGAGGAGGGAAGACUUUGAAACUCAUUUUAUGAGGCAAGCAUUACUCUGAUACCAAAGCCAGAUAAGGACGCUAAAGGAAGACUAUAGACCAAUAUCCCUGAUAGAUAUAGAUGCAAAAAUUCUCAACAAAAUACUAGCAAAGUGAAUUCAACAGCCCAUUGAAACAACAUACAUCGUGAUCAAGUGGAAUUUAUUCCUGGUACUCAAGAAUGUUUCAACCUACACAAAUCGAUAAAUGUGAUGCACCACAUGAGUAGAAUGAAAGAUAAAAAUCAUAGUAUCACCUCAAUAGGUGCAGAAAAGGCAUUUGACAAAAUUCAAUAUCCUUUCAUGAUGAAAACUCUCAACAAAGUGCUUAUAGAAGGAACAUACCUCGAGAUAAUAAAGACCAUAUCUGACAAGCCCAUACUAGCAUCAUACUCAACAGUGAAAGGUUGAUUUCACCAUUGAUACACUAUUCAAUGGUGAUUAUAUAUGCAUAAAUAAUCUAAUACAUUGUUGCUAUUAUUAUUUUGAACCAAUUGUUUUCUGUUAAUCCAAUUAGGAAUAAGAAAAAUAAAAUAUUUUCUUUACCUGCA
ensembl:lncRNA